GCCCGGUUAGCUCAAUCGGUAGAGCGUGAGACUCUUAAUCUCAAGGUUGCGGGUAAGUUACUGCUUGUUCAUCGAGGUUCUUCACGAUUAUAUACUAACAUGGCCCUAAAGGUUCGACCCCCGCAUCGGGCU